rnacentral:rRNA from 1 species
UACGUAGGGGGCAAGCGUUGUCCGGAUUCAUUGGGCGUAAAGAGCGUGUAGGCGGCCAGGUAGGUCGGUUGUGAAAACUGGAGGCUCAACCUUCAGAGGUCGACCGAAACCAUCUGGCUAGAGUCCGGGAGAGGAGAGUGGAAUUCCUGGUGUAGCGGUGAAAUGCGCAGAUAUCAGGAAGAACACCCGUGGCGAAGGCGGCUCACUGGUCCGAUACUGACGCUGAGGUGCGAAAGCGUGGGGAGCAAACAGG